AUAAUUUGGGGAACGUUCCAACAGGAAUCUGUUCCAAAAACCUCGUAAAUAACAAGGAUGCCAACAAACAACGCAUACACCGUUGUAUAGCGGCAGAAUAGGAUACCGGGUAGGGAGUGGGACAUUUUGUUACAUUUUUCACUCACCACGUUAAUUCCGAAAAAUGUCUGUCCUCACUCUGGUAGCCGAUGGACAAACAUUAAGAAUAAGCUACGUGGUGAUUCAGAUCCUGGGGGACAAGUUUCCCUACAAACUAGUGUCCAAGAAGAUUGACUGUGAGUGCACCUUAUCAACGGUUCCUGAAUAAACUGAAGCCAGAAGGAUCCUAUGGUUCUAAUGAUGAACUUAGCCUUAAGAUGCCUUUGGGAAACCGGGCCCAGGUCUGUUUAAGAUGCUGGCUGGGUUUGAGGACAAGUCGGCCUGGGCUCUGUGUACCUUUGCCUUCUAUCCAGGGAAAGAGGAAUCGGUACAACUCUUUAGAGGGAUAACUGAGAGCCUGGAGGCCAAGAGACUUUGGAUGGGACCCCUGUUUCCAGCCAGACGGAUACGACAAAACAUAAGCAGGACUUAAUGCAGGACAUUUAUUUUACUAGCAGGAGUCUGGGUUUAUGCAGCAGACUUUACCUGUCUUUAUUGAACCAAUUGACGGAAACUAAUGAUAGUGAUUAUUCCCAGUUUCACUGAUGAUUUGUAAAUUUUCUCUCCUCUCUCUAUCAUCCAUGUAGUUAUGCUGAGCUACCCAAGGAGGUGAAGAACACCAUUUCCCAUCGGUAUCAGGCUCUGGCAGCCAUGUCUGAACACUUCUCCUCUCAGGACAAUGGCACACCAGACAGCAAGAAGAAGAAACGGCUAUUAACCCCUGAUCUAGCAUCAGAUCACAUAACCAUUAGAGGGAUACAAAAUCUGACCCUGUAUCAGUGGUGGGGCAACUUCUACCUACUCUGACUUAUGGGUAUCAGAGUCUGAGCCAACCAAACAGUUCUGAUGUUGAAUUUAGAUAGUGGUGCUUUUGAUACAGUGGUUUAGGUUAGUAUUGUGGAGUAACUACAAUGUUUUUAAUCCAUCCUCAGUUUUCUGCUAUCACAGCCUCAUGCUGAAAUCCCUGAGCAGUUUCCUUCCUUUCCGGCAACUGAGUUAGGAAGGACGCCUGUAUUUUUGUAGUGACUGGGUGUAUUGAUACACCAUCCAAAGUGUAAUUAAUAUUCGACCCAUGCUCAAAGGGAUGUUAAAUAUCUACUUUUUUUUAUAUUUACCCACCUACCAAUAGGUACCCUUUGCGAGGCAUUGGAAAACCUCGCUGGUCUUUGUGUUUCAAUCUGUUUUUGAAAUUCACUGCUUGACUGAGGGACCUUAAAGAUCAUUUUAUGUGUGGUGUGCAGAGAUGAGGUAGUCAUUCAUGUUAAACACAAUUAUUGCAUCCGUGCAACUUAUGUGACUUGUUAAGCAUAUUUUUACUCUUGAACUUACUUAGGCUUGCCAAAACAAAGGGGUUGAAUACAAUAUUGACUCAAGACAUUUCAGCUUUUAAUUUGUACACAUUUCUAAAAACCUAAUUCCACUUUGGCAUUAUGGGGUCUUGUGUGUAGGCCAGUGACACAAAAUCUAAAUUGAAUCGAUUUUAAAUUCAUGCUGUAACACAACAAAAUGUGGGGAAAAGUCAAGGGGUUUGAAUACUUUCUGAAGGCACUCUAUCUGCUUUCCUUAAACUGGAAGAACUCAAGAUGUGUCCUUUGUCCAACCUGGAUUAUGUGGGUUUAUAACCAAUACUUUUUGCUUUAAAGUGCAGACUCCAAACCAGCACUAUACUCAUACUGUAUGUCUGAUGUGUUACUGAGGCUGGUUCUGUGAGUGUGUAUGGAGUGCCCCAAGAGAAGUGUAUAAUAAACCAUAAACAUUCUGCCA